GGUGGUUCUCAGAUGACGCACCCCAGAAUCGGGCUCCCUCCUCUCUGGUUCUGGGUGAGUCACCCGAGAACCGCA
rfam:Myotis davidii contig13949, whole genome shotgun sequence.